rnacentral:misc_RNA from 1 species
GUAGGUGAACCUGCGGAAGGAUCAUUACAGAGUAUCAUGCCCUCACGGGUAGAUCUCCACCCUUGAAUAACAUACCUCUGUUGCUUUGGCAGGCCCCAUUUCCAGCGGCCUCGGCUGUUGAGUGCCUGCCAGAGGACCACAACUCUUGUUUUUAGUGAUGUCUGAGUACUAUAUAAUAGUUAAAACUUUCAACAACGGAUCUCUUGGUUCUG